UGCAAGUCGAGCGGAAACGACUUAACUGAACCUUCGGGGAACGUUAAGGGCGUCGAGCGGCGGACGGGUGAGUAAUGCCUGGGAAUAUGCCUUAGUGUGGGGGAUAACUAUUGGAAACGAUAGCUAAUACCGCAUAAUGUCUUCGGACCAAAGAGGGGGACCUUCGGGCCUCUCGCGCUAAGAUUAGCCCAGGUGAGAUUAGCUAGUUGGUGAGGUAAGAGCUCACCAAGGCGACGAUCUCUAGCUGGUCUGAGAGGAUGAUCAGCCACACUGGAACUGAGACACGGUCCAGACUCCUACGGGAGGCAGCAGUGGGGAAUAUUGCACAAUGGGCGAAAGCCUGAUGCAGCCAUGCCGCGUGUAUGAAGAAGGCCUUCGGGUUGUAAAGUACUUUCAGUAGGGAGGAAGGUGUUGUAGUUAAUAGCUGCAGCAUUUGACGUUACCUACAGAAGAAGCACCGGCUAACUCCGUGCCAGCAGCCGCGGUAAUACGGAGGGUGCGAGCGUUAAUCGGAAUUACUGGGCGUAAAGCGCAUGCAGGUGGUUCAUUAAGUCAGAUGUGAAAGCCCGGGGCUCAACCUCGGAACCGCAUUUGAAACUGGUGAACUAGAGUGCUGUAGAGGGGGGUAGAAUUUC
rnacentral:rRNA from 1 species